AAAAGUAGGUGUGGUCCAGGCCCUCCAGGGGCUCAGGGGCUCGUGGAAGAAGUGGACAUUGAAAUACUUAUCACACAAAUGAGGAUAAAAGUACGAUAGCGAUAUCUGCCACGAAGGUGAGCAGACAGAGCUAGCGGGGCUUGCAGGAGGAGUUUUGAUCUUGCAGGGACAGGAAGGAGGAGUUAGCUCCUGCGGGGUGGGAUUGGGGGUGGUGGUGAUAUAGACGUGGGGACAGAGUGGAAAACAACAAAAAUAUAAUUAUUUUAGUUCAAAGUUAUUGUGUCUUGAGUUGAAAGGCAGGGCAGUUAGCAACACAGUUCAGAUUUCAGUACUGCCCCUGAAAUCUGAACUGUGUUCAAAGUCUAAAACGUUUACCUUAGCAAAUUCCUCAUAAAACUCCAUUUGGAAGAGUCCCGAGAGCGAAUUUGUUAAGUACACUUGCAAAAGGUAGAUGAGGAGACAGAUAAAAUCUUAUUACCUCUUUCAGAUGAGAGCCACUUGAGCCCUGCUCAGCUAUGAGAAUAAGAGAGGGGAAUUAAUUCUAAUUGAAUACACUUGUUCUCUUAUAGCUGUUGUUCCACACCAGAACCAAAUGAGCGCAAGAUCUGACAAAGAAAAAAAAAGUCCCUGUAUCCUGAGAUGGAGUCACCUAAGAAUCCACAGCAAGUCCUAACCAGGGAUGGGUCUGGGUGAUUAAGGAAGGUUGGCUUCAGAACUGGGCCAGGGGCACUGCUUUGCUUUUGCUGUUUUGAUCAGCUCUCUGCCUGCAGGAGACAAGGAAAACCAAUGGGAACAGCUGGGGAAACUGAGUUACAGAGCUUUUCUGCACUGAGUCAUCAGGAGCAAAUGCUAGAUCAGAUAGGGUCUCUCUCUCUGCCACCCAGGCCAGAGUGCAGUUGACGCAGGGCAGGGGAGCCCCGAAGUGGAGCAUAGCGUGUCCGGAACUGGUGGGUUCUUGGUCUCACUGACUUCAAGAAUGAAGCCGCGGACCCUCGCGAAAUGAGGCUUCUCCCUGGGACCAGCAUUCCACGAAGGCAGCCCUUUUCUAGAUGGAGAAAACAGAACCUGAAGACACCCGUUUCCCUAAACUGCUCUUGCUCAUGUUUCUACAAGGCCUGGAGCUGAUACGAAAAACCUCCCUUCUUUCCCAAAUGCUCCCCAGCUUCCCCGUUCACUGAAGGCCCUGCAGUCAGGAACAGUCAGGACUUUGCACCCAGUUGUUGUGGGUGUUUGGCCGACUCUUCCUCUUGUGUGAUUCAUGGACCCUCAGCAUUGCAUCACCUAGGAGCUUUUGGAAUUGAAGACUCUCAGGGCUCACCCGGAAGGACCUCCUGGGCCAGAAUCUGCAUUUUAACAAGAUGCUCAGGGCUUCUCAACCGGGAGUGAUUUUGCCCCCCAGAGAACAUGUGGCCAUGUCUGGAGACAAUUUUGGUGGUUGCGGCUGGAGGAGGUGGUGCUACUGGCAGCUAAUGGGUAGAGGCCAGCGAUGCUGCUAAGCAUCCUACAAUGCCCCGACAACUCCCACUAAGACAAAAGAAUGAUCCAGCCCCAAAUGUCAAUAGUGCUGAAAGUGAGAGACCCUGAUUCCAUCUUAGAGAUCAUCCAAGCACACUUGGCCAAAUUGGUUUUGCUACUGUCCCAUGAAGAAAAGGCAGACUCAUGACUGAUGGCAACAUCGAUGGGAAUUUUGUUUACCUCUUCUUUGUGGACUUUGGGUUACGAUGACUUACCAUUUGUGCAAGUUGUGCAUUGCAUACCUCCAGGGGGCGCCACCCACAUAUUUAUGAAAAUGCCACCCCAGGAAUUGCACAGUACAUAGUCUACAUGGCAAUAAGCAGUUGCUCUGGUUUUGGGGUUGUCCUGAGGUGCUCUGGAACUGGGAGGAACUUUAUUUCUGGCCAUUAGAGGCCCUGAGCAUGACUUUGAGUAUCCUUUCAAGAAAGGAGAAAUGUUGAACAGAGACGACCUCAUUUUUAUAACUCUUGACCAUCAUCUAGUUACGGAGCAUCCACUUUUCACCCCUGGGCCAUAUCCAUUUGAAGGGUGAAAAAUCAUCAAAUUAUAAUAUCAUGGCUUAUACUUUUGAUAGCUUCUGCCCGGAACAUGGCGGUAACAGCUUCUCAUUUUCAAUUGAGUCAUUGGGGGAGAAAAUAUACACGGCUGCCCUAAGACUUUCUAUUACAUACCACUUGUUUGACGAGAUUUCUUUAGUUUCUGCAGCAUAACUUAUUCUAACUGGUCCUCAAUCACUUUGCAAUAAAACCUGAGAUUGUGAAGAUGUUCAUUGUCAUUACCAGUGACGGAGCAGUAAGUACAGAGUUCUGGAGAGGGAAGGAAUCGAGAGAGUUAAACUAGCAGAAUGAGCCGCUCAUCCUCAGAAUUGCUUUUAAUCUUGGUGAGAACUGAGGGGAAUUUUGACAGUGUUCAGGGGGACUGCGGGGAGUGGGGCUGGGAAGUGGCUGUUUGCACGUGUGGUCAGCAAAUCCAGUGAGGGGGUCCAUGUACUGUGGGCAGCCCCACAGAUGGAGUUGGGAUUGCCCUAGACUGAGUACUGGGUCAUCAGUACUCAAGACAUCGAGGCCCAGGCUGGUGCAGGAGAUACAUUGCACUGUUUCAGCCUUUCUUCUAUCGCUCCUCUCCAAUGACAGUCCCCGAUUUUCCGCCGAGGAAUCACUAGUCCCCCAUGACAUGUGUGCGACUGGCCAUUCCCCACCCUGAUCUGGAGCUGGGGCAUGUGGUCCCAGCCUGGAUGUCAGUAUCCUUCCACCACCCUGGCCACAGUGAUUGGGUCUGAGAAGCAGAUUAGCCAAAGGAGAGACAAUCUUGGAAAUUCCACAUUCAUGCUUAAGAAAGUAAAAUGGAAAGCGGGGGGAGGGUGAGGGUUCAUUCUGAUAAUACAGUUUUAGGACCUGGAUGUAGCCACACCUGUAGCUGUCAACUCUGUGCCAUAGUACUGCUUUUUUUUUUUUUUUCCUUCAAAUUUAAAUACUUUCUAAAGGCAAGGUCUUGCUAUGUUGCUUAGGCUGGUUUUGAAAAGUCCCUUUUUGG
rnacentral:lncRNA from 1 species